rnacentral:rRNA from 1 species
GACGAACGCUGGCGGCGUGCCUAAUACAUGCAAGUAGAACGCUGAAGGAGGAGCUUGCUUCUCCGGAUGAGUUGCGAACGGGUGAGUAACGCGUAGGUAACCUGCCUGGUAGCGGGGGAUAACUAUUGGAAACGAUAGCUAAUACCGCAUAAGAGUAGAUGUCGCAUGACAUUUGCUUAAAAGGUGCAACUGCACCACUACCAGAUGGACCUGCGUUGUAUUAGCUAGUUGGUGGGGUAACGGCUCACCAAGGCAACGAUACAUAGCCGACCUGAGAGGGGGAUCGGCCACACUGGGACUGAGACACGGCCCAGACUCCUACGGGAGGCAGCAGUAGGGAAUCUUCGGCAAUGGACGGAAGUCUGACCGAGCAACGCCGCGUGAGUGAAGAAGGUUUUCGGAUCGUAAAGCUCUGUUGUAAGAGAAGAACGAGUGUGAGAGUGGAAAGUUCACACUGUGACGGUAUCUUACCAGAAAGGGACGGCUAACUACGUG